AAGCUCGUAGUUGAAUUUCGGGAUCAAGGGAUCGGUCAUGCCUUGGUAUGUACUGGUCUUAUUGGUUCUCACCUUCUAAAGAACCAUAAUGUCAUUCAUUUGAUGUUAUGGGGAAUUAGGACUGUUACCUUGAAAAAAUUAGAGUGUUUAAAGCAGGCUUACGCUUGAAUACAUUAGCAUGGAAUAAUGAAAUAGGACAUCCGAUUCUAUUUUGUUGGUUUCUAGGAUCGAUGUAAUGAUUAAUAGGGAUAGUUGGG
rnacentral:rRNA from 1 species